rnacentral:rRNA from 1 species
UACAGAGGUCUCAAGCGUUGUUCGGAUUCAUUGGGCGUAAAGGGCGCGUAGGCGGCGAGGCAAGUCAGAUGUGAAAUCCCGGGGCUCAACCCCGGAACUGCAUUUGAAACUGCCUUGCUCGAGUACUGGAGAGGAGACUGGAAUUUACGGUGUAGCAGUGAAAUGCGUAGAUAUCGUAAGGAAGACCAGUGGCGAAGGCGAGUCUCUGGACAGUUACUGACACUGAGGCACGAAGGCCAGGGGAGCAAACGGG